AGUGUCUCUUCAACUCUUGGAUUGCUUCCCACCGUCCAACAAUAUAAGAAGGAAGCUUGAGAAAAAGUUGACAUCACACACCACAAGGGUCAUCAGAGGGGAAAAGAUUGAAUAUGUACCUAUUCUUACCCGUGUGCCCCCUGCUGGAUCUUCACUUAUAGGUGCCUCUAAAGUGUCUCUUCCACUCUUGGAUUGCUUUCCACCACCCAAAAAUAUAACAAGAAAGCCUGAGCAAAAGUUGACAUCAAACACGAGGGUCACCAGAGGGGAAAAGAUUCAAUUUGAACCUUUUCUUACCCGUGUGCCCCCUGCUGGAUCUUCACUUAUAGGUGCCCCUAAAGUGUCUCUUCCACUUCUGGGAAAGUUCACGCCCUUCAGACCUUUGCAACCUCGUCCACCCAUGUCAAUGAAGAGGACUUUCAGUACUGAA